rnacentral:rRNA from 1 species
UACGUAGGGUGCGAGCGUUAAUCGGAAUUACUGGGCGUAAAGGGUGCGCAGGCGGUCUCGUAAGCUGGGUGUGAAAAGCCCCCGGGCUUAACCUGGGAAUGGCAUUCAGGACUGCGAGGCUUUUGAGUGCGGCAGAGGGAGGUGGAAUUCCACGUGUAGCAGUGAAAUGCGUAGAGAUGUGGAGGAACACCGAUGGCGAAGGCAGCCUCCUGGGCCAGCACUGACGCUCAGUGCACGAAAGCGUGGGGAGCAAACAGG